GCUUCAUCUUAUCAGUUCGCCAGGUCUAAGCUGGUGAAGGAAACUCUGGCGAAAAAGAGAACCGGCCUACUACUAGUGAUGCCUCGACAUACAACUUAAUUCCAUUUGGCAAAAACGUAAAGCAGAAACGGAACAAAAGUAAUGAGUUUUCUCAAAAGCCAGAAGUUCUGAAGAAUCUCAACUCAACUAAAACUCAUUUGAUAAGAAGAAUAAAGAAGAUCCAAAUGCAUCAAAGAGAUAAAAAUACAACUUCCCAAUUAAAAAGUGUUAGUACCAAUAUAAUUGCCCACAGCAUAAAACAAAAGAAACCUUCAUCAACAUCAGCAAAUCCACCAAAAGCACAAACCAUAUGUCUGUUCUACGUGUGGGAAACAACUGAAGAGCAAACUCACUCUUAACCAACAUAUGAAAACAUUGACGAUCAAACAAAGUCUUGCUCGGCACAUUCUAAUUCAUAAAAAUAUAAAAGCUUUUUCCUGUCCCGAGUGUGGGAUAUGCUUCCGACUGAAGGAAUCUCUUAUUAGGCACCAGAGGGUCCACACUGGAUUCAAACCGUAUUAUUUUCCCAGAAGGAAGAACUGAAACUCCACAGUCAGAGUCAUAUAGGAGAGAAACCAUUUGUGUGUCCUGAUUGUGGAAAGAGAUUUUCAUUAAGAAGCCUUCUCCUGACCCACCAGUCUGUUCACUCAGUGGAGAAAUCUUUUUCCUUUUCAGAGUGUGGCAAAUAAUUUAGAUUAAAGCCACAUCUUUUGAAACAUCAGAAUAUCCACACUGGAGUGAAACCAUAUGUUUGUCCUCACUGUGGGAAAGACUUUAUUCAGAUUGGAGAUUUUAAAAACCACUGUUGAACCCACACAGGGGAGAAACCAUUUGUUUGCUCUGAAUGCAGAAAAAGAAUUUCAGUAAAACACAGUCUCCAUGGUCACCAACUGAUUCACACGGGGGGGAGAAACCUUAUGCUUGUUCAGAGUGUGAUAAAUCAUUUAGAGUUAAGUCAAAUCUUCAGAUCCACCAACGUGUUCACACAGGAGAGAAGCCAUUUCACAUCAGCUAACCCACACGGGGAUUAAAUCAUUUGAAUGCUCUGAGUGUGGGAUUCAAUUCAGUCGCAAGUACAGACUAAUUCAGCACCAGUUAAUUCACACUGGGGAGAAGCCGUUUGAAUGUGCCACGUGUGGGAGGAGGUUUGUCUUAAAUGUAACUUCAAAAUACACCAGUUAGUCCACACUGGGGAGAAACCCUAUGUCUGUACUGAGUGCAUCCCCCUGACGGCUGUAACUACUUAGCCAUCGCUCCAUCCCCUGUAGAUUCACGGGAGUGCUCCCCUUUUCCUUCUGCAGAUUUGUUGCCUGGUUUGCCUUUUUUAAAACAUCUGGCGAAGGGGUGCCCCCCCACCACAACCGGAACAUUCGUGCCGGAAUCUGCAUGUGUUCCGCCACCGGCACUGUCCCUCAUUAAAUUGAAAACAUACCGGCUUCCCUUCUCUCGUGCUUGCCAGCGAGCCGGACUUGCUGAGCCCGCUGGCGCACCCCUGAGAGGGGUGGGCCCUUUUGCGGGCCCAUCAGCUUCAACCAUAAAUGUAUGUCCUUAUAAUGCCAACGCAUGGUGGGGUGCGCAGCCUUCCGUUGGCGAAAGUGCUCAUCGUACCUCCACCAUGCCUAUCCCCCAAAGUCUCUGCUCGCCGACCAGAUCUCAUCCACAUAGCAGAAGUGGGAUGAACACAAUUGGGGUUGUUUUUCCCCCAAAACCCCGGCAUAUAUGCAAAAGGCCAUUAGCCAAGUCCCAAAUGUUUUCGGGAUCUUUCUAUAUCGCUUCUUUUCCUCCUCCUCACGCUUUUUUGCUUUCUCUUUAUCCUUCUCUUCAUCCACAUCUAUAAAAUCUUCCCUAGGGAGUAACGAGUACAACUCUAUAAACUCCCCUUUCCAAAUCUCAUCUUUCACCUCGGGCUUAAGGUGAACCCCCCCAGGGGACCCGCGCAGCAAUAGUAUGACCCGCCUAAGGCCGUGUCCGCGAGUUGGACCCCCGCACCUGUUACACCACUUGUAGCUACCGUAGUAGCCUGCUGCCCUGCAGGGUCCGCCACCCUCACCCCCGUACCGGGUUGUUCCGUCCCCCCAAUGGGUGCGGGAUGCCAGAAAUCACUGUUGCCUGCCCUUCCGUUCUAGAGGGGCUUGCCCCUCAGAUGGGGCCCAAGGGGGGUGUUCCCCCUUUACCGGUCUCCCAUGAUGCCAUCAUGUCUCUAAUCCCCUCAAACAGACCCAACAAUGAUCCCUGCACCCCACUAGUACCGGCUUGCGCUAAGCCUACCCGCUGCGACUGUAACAAUGGCAAAGCAGUGUACUCACCACCCGUAACAGCCUGGGAAGUCUCUUGCCGUUGGUCUGGGCGUCCUGCCUCUGCUAUGCGGUCCGCUGUCUGCGACACACCUGCAGUGUCCUCCCUGGCAUGGCCUUGCUCUGUAGUAUUAUUACUGGGGCGUGAUGGCAGCCAGCUGCGCGUGAGGCCCUGUCCUGGGAGCUGUCCGAGUCUGAACCCGGAAGGCUGUUCUCCUGGUCCUGUCUCUCUGGCCUUGUUGAAGGUGCUCUCCCCAAUCUCCCUGGUCCGGUGUCCUGCUGGGAGCCCUGCUGUUAACUGGGUCUCUCCUGGAAUGCCCCCUUUGCUCCCUGCCCUGUCCAGAUGCCCCAGCAUGAGCACUGUUCUGGGCUGUCAUUACCCCCUGUCCCCAUGCAGCUGCUGCCUGGCUGUCCAGAGACCUCCCACUGGAGCUGGGAGAGGGAGAAGCAGCGUGCCCAGUUUGCCUGUGGGGUGAGAGAGGGGCCCUACUAGAGCCGCCUGGUAUUGCAGGAGGUUCAUUAGUGGCCCCCUGUGCCUGCCCCCCGGGUCCCUGUGAAGUGCUUUUACUGUGUGAUGAGGGCUGGGAGAGCAGGGGGGGAGAAGUGCUAGAGCACAGGCUCCACCCCCCUGCUCGUGCUGCUGCUGGCAAUGGAGGAGUGCGCUCUCCCGCGCGGCCUGUAGCACUGCUCCGGACACUCCGACCAGCUGCGUUGGGGGGGGGAUUGGGAGCCCCAUCGUUCCUCAGGGCUCUCACUGUCCGUGGGCUAGGACUGACUGUGCGCCUCUGCUUACCCGACGCCUCAGGGCUGAGGCAAGCUAGGGGCCUGCAUCGACACUGCCGCCUGCUGGGAGAUGACACAGCGCCGCCCUGGGGGUCACUGAUGCCCCCAAUUGAUCCCACAGCCAAGCAGGGCCAUUUUUAACUGCCUGCUACCUCAAGAUCUCCAGCAUGGCUGUGAUAUCAGAGCUAGCCAUGCUGCUUCACCUCGCUGCUCCAGAAGGAUGGCUGCCAACCAAAUCCCCCUGGAUCCACCCUGCUGGUAAGCCCUCCUUAAUUCCUCACCACCAAUCCUAACCCCCUUAUUUGCCUAAAGCCUGCUUAGCCCGGUCAAAGCUUCUCUCCCUCCACUUUGGCUUGUCCAGGAAGCCCUAUUAUAUGGACAAAUAACUCCUCGGUGACUUGUAAUAUCUUUAUAAAUUACAGUAGGGGGUAUUUUAAUGAUGACCUGAUGUUACAGAUUCUAUGGUUACUGUAAGUGACUCUUGAGUAUAUAACCCUUCCAUUUACUCUUGAUUCUCAGCCAUUUAAGGAAGAGGGCGCUUCCCCCAGGAGAGAAGGGAGCAGUUUUCAAUGGCCGCCCCCCUCCCAUGAGCACAACUGAUCCCCCCAUCCCCCGCUGCUCCCCUCCCAUCAACUUCAUUGUCUCUUCAGACUCCGCCUCCCAGUAGGAAACGCAGUCGCUUGGAGGGAGUUGAGGUAACACUUGUGGAAAUGUUGCGUUGCCUUGUGGACGUUCUCACAAAACAAAAUGCAGAGAGUAAAGUAGAAGAUUGUCCGGAUCUCGUUUUCCUUAAAUCCAUGCUGCCGGGUAUGAAGUUGAGAUCUUCCAACUCAUUGUCAGCUAUAUCCCACACCAACCUCUUGUACCCUCAGUACCCAUCCCCCCUCCUAAUCACUCCUACCCUCCAUUCCCUAUGCCAACACCCCCCACUCUAUUUGGCUGGUAUAACUCCCCUCCCCCAUACCAAGGGAACCCUCCUCCUACAGGCUCGGCACCAAUCCACUACCCAGGCUUGUAACCCUUUUCCUUAAAGGAUAAGUAAACCUUAAAAAUAAGUGAAUGUAAAGUUGAUGAGGGUGCUAUUCUAAGCACUUGUGUAAUGUACAUUCAUUAUUUGUUUCUUUUAUGUUCCGAGAUAUUGAAUGAUACAUGUACUGUUAACAUGAAUACAUUUUGUUACAACAGCGCCACCUGCUGGUCAGUUUCCCACCAGUCUGACAUUCCCAAUGCUGCAGAUCUGACAGGAGGUGGGGCUUAAUGUUACUGGGUGGAGUUAUAAAAGCAUCAUGGGAUGGGUGCAACUACACGUAUCCCCCGUGACCUGGAGGCUUGCUCAGUGUCUGUAUACAUGAGAAAUAUUAUUUCCACCAGUGCUGCUAUAACUUGUGUUUCAGCCAAUAUGUUAAUAUUUUAAUGUUUGUACCUUAAAGUAUUGGAUUUUAAUCUUGCAUAUUGGGACUUUACAUAUUGGGACUUUACAUACUGUUACGUUAAGGAUUC